rfam:Opisthocomus hoazin contig66011, whole genome shotgun sequence.
CAGGGCAGGUUUUUUUCUCAGCUAUGUCGGUGUAAACCCAGAGCAACUCCACUGAGGUUCACACCAGAGUAACUGAGAGCAGAAUCUGGCCAA